ensembl:lncRNA
GUUUACAUUUUGUUUCAUGGCUAGAGCGUGUGGUAAAGCGAAUUAGAAUUCCAUUCCGAUUCGAAACAAUGUGUAAAGACGUAUUCCAUCUCUAUGCGACCGAGAGGGUCACAAUGCCGACGCUUCACAUGGAACACCAGAACCCAAGAGAUAUGUCCAGAACACUCAAAAAAUCUUCAGUUCUUGAUCGACAAACAACGAGAGAGACAGCAUUAUUAUGGCAAGCUUUUCAUUCAUCUUCCCCGAAGACAGACGUUGUUCCAUUAAGGACAACGAAGUCAAUUCAGGUAAGAACAAUAACGUUCAUUUCCGUCUUUAAAUAAAAAUAUUAAUUGAAGGUGUAAUUCCUACUGGAAAGGAAAUAAAAACAACAUAGAAGAUACGGCUUUAUUGGUUUGUUGUUAGUUACCAAACAGUGUAACCAUGCGAAAUGAGGUUUUCCAGCUGACAAUUGGUUAUUUUGCCAAUGAAAAUAAAUGAUGUCCCAAUUAUCUCUCCUUCCACGCAAAAUGUGCACUUGUUCACCUCCCUUUACCGAUUUGAAAGGAAAUGACUGGUAUAUUAAACAUGGCUAAAACUCUACCUAGCCCCUACUAGCCAAUGUUUUUAGAUUUGUGGGAAGUGGUGAAUGGCUGCACACUUCAGCAGAAAUCAGAUGUUAUUGGGAUGCAUGAAGAAAAUGAAGAAUGCAAUGAGGAAUAUCCCUUGCUUGUAAUGCUGAAAUCAGUUUACUUAACCCUGUGUUGGUGUUUCUUUCAGGGUGGAUGUCAACGGUAACCAAACUCAACACCCAUGGCGGUCCAGAGUCAGAGAGGCAGAACAUCCAUCAGUGCGUUGCAGAUGUACUUGGUGACAAGUACCACUACGCGAAUGCCAUUGACAGCUCUCUGCUCUGGACUGUUGGGUACACCCCCUACAUUCCCCCAGCUCUGAAAGGAAGAAACUUCCCCUCUGUCGAGAGCUUCUCCCUGGAUGAGUGGGAGCCACUGACACUCCUGCAGACUCCUCAGGUUCUGUCCACCAGUGUUUCCAUCGAGGAAGACAACCUGAUCCAGUCUGCUGCAGGCCUAGUGUCUCAGGUUCUGUCCACCAGUGUUGCCAUCGUGGAGAAUGACCUGAUCCAGUCUGCUGCAGGUCUAGUGUCUCAGGUUCUGUCCAGCAGUGUUUCCAUCGUGGAGAGUGACCUGAUCCAGUCUGCUGCAGGCCUAGUGUCUCAGGUUCUGUCCACCAGUGUUUCCAUCGAGGAAGACAACCUGAUCCAGUCUGCUGCAGGUCUAGUGUCUCAGGUUCUGUCCAGCAGUGACGCUAGAUUGAAGGAUCGUAUUGAUUCCACACUGAGAGACUCAACCCAACCUGAGGUCCAUGUGGCGGAUGUCUCAACCGAGAGAAGUAGACUAGUCAUCACUAUUUCUAUGUUUUCAACUGAGAGUUGCAAUGCUUCGGUCCAUGAAGUUGAUGCUAUUGCUACCAGCCUGGAGCACCCGGCUGAGAAAAUGUCUACCUCUACCGCUGAUGGCCACAUUGUUUCAUCCACUGCUGUUGCCAAUCAGAAGGAAACAAGGGGCGGAUUCGUCUCAUCUCUACGGAGACUGUUCACAAGAAAGAACAGGAAGCCUGUCAGUAAUUCUUAUAUAGUGUUUUGUAGUGUAAUAUGUUAUAAUUUAUUAACUAUUGUUAUACUAAUAUCCUGUGUUAAUGGUUGUCUUUAAAAUAUUUUUCUCUGUUGUCUACUUGUCUGUUUUCAGGCUAAAGUGGCUUCCAAGAAGGAGCACAUUCACUUGGUUGACCGCCUCAAUGCUGAAGUCACCCACUGAGGACACUCACUCACUGCUGAAAGCAUCCAGGAUGAUGCUUCUGUUUCUCCUCAACGCCACCUACACCCCUGCCCCUCUCCCCCACACCAAACCCUACCAGGGUUGGGUUGAAUUCCAGAUCAAUUCAGUCAAUUCAGGAAGUAAACUGAAAUUCCAAUUCCAAUUGUUUCUCAUAGGAGGCAUUGAGGUAAAUUUGAAUUGCUAUUGGAAUUUCAGUUAACUUACUGA